UACGUAGGUGGCAAGCGUUGUCCGGAUUUAUUGGGUUUAAAGGGUGCGUAGGUGGUCUAUUAAGUCAGUGCUGAAAUAUCCCGGCUUAACCGGGAGGGUGGCAUUGAUACUGAUGGACUUGAGUAGAGUCGAGGUAGGCGGAAUUGACGGUGUAGCGGUGAAAUGCUUAGAUAUCGUCAAGAACACCUAUAGCGAAGGCAGCUUACUAGGCUCUAACUGACACUGAGGCACGAAAGUGUGGGGAUCAAACAGGAUUAGAUACCCUGGUAGUCCACACUGUAAACGUUGAUUACUCGAUGUUGGCGAUACACAGCCAGCGUCUUAGCGAAAGCGAUAAGUAAUCCACCUGGGGAGUACGCCGGCAACGGUGAA
rnacentral:rRNA from 1 species